ACGAACGCUGGCGGCGUGCUUAACACAUGCAAGUCGAACGGUGAAGCGCCUUCCUUUUUGGUGGGUGUGGAUGAGCGGCGAACGGGUGAGUAACACGUGAGUAACCUGCCCCCUUCUUCUGGAUAACCGCAUGAAAGUGUGGCUAAUACGGGAUAUUCUGGGUCUGUCGCAUGAUGGGUCUGGGAAAGAUAUUGUUUCGGUGGGGGAUGGGCUCGCGGCCUAUCAGCUUGUUGGUGGGGUGAUGGCCUACCAAGGCGGUGACGGGUAGCCGGCCUGAGAGGGUGGACGGUCACACUGGGACUGAGACACGGCCCAGACUCCUACGGGAGGCAGCAGUGGGGAAUAUUGCACAAUGGACGCAAGCCUGAUGCAGCGACGCCGCGUGAGGGAUGGAGGCCUUCGGGUUGUGAACCUCUUUCGCCAGUGAAGCAGGCCUGCCUCGUUUGUGGGUGGGUUGACGGUAGCUGGAUAAGAAGCGCCGGCUAACUACGUG
rnacentral:rRNA from 1 species